UCUCCACAGCUGCAGAUGGUGACAGCUUUCCCUUCAGCUCCUCCGAAGAUCAUUUGUAUUGAUGUAUUCUGACCGUUGCUCCCUCUCCAAGUGCCGUUUUGUUUGUCCGCGUCGUCCCCUUGAAUUUUAAGCGCGGUUCCUCAGGUCAGCCUUUGAGCUUCUGGUUUCUUCAAAGCACCAUAACAUGGAUGGUCUUGAUGCCUCAUCUGUGACCACACGCGUGUUGAUUGGCUAUGAAUACCCCAUGCAAGCUGAACCCAGAGAAGCGGCAUCCCCUCCACUGUGUAGACGCACAGCGAGGGCCAGGAUGUCACACGGGGAAACUCAACGCUGGAAACUUUCAGAACGACACACUUGUGUUCAAGCAGCAUGACAGUAAAAGAGCGGAGCGAGUCAGAGAGGUAAAUGCUGACGGCUGGAGAUUUCUCGUCUCUCUGCUUUAACUGGCUAAGGUCUUUUUUGUUGGUAUAAAAAUAUGCAUGAGAGGGAGAGAAAGAGAAAUGCUGACCAUUUUUCCCGGCCUCUACAGUCGUCAAAAAACCGACGUGCGGAGGAACCCGACAGGCAUGAAAUAAAUUAAUGCAAUGUGCCAAUCAAAACAGAUGGAGAGUUUCAGACAAUUACACAGUUCCUUCUUAAACUUGUAAGAAAAAAACUGCACAAC